UCACAUCUCAAAAAGUUAAUUAUUAAGUUUGAGUACAGAUAACUGCAGAAACGCACUAUGUUUUGCUCUUACUACACGAGGGACGAGCUAACUGCAUCCACACCUAGUAUAUUACUGUGCAGCGAAUUUGCAGGCACCACCGGCCCUCUCCCAUCUCCCAUGUAGUCUCAUUGAAGCGGGAUCUUGGGACGGGCAGCACAGUGCGCUCGAAGUUAACUGCAGUCGGGGGCGGCAUGGAGCGGGCGCUGCCGUCGAUGGAGCAUAGUGCACACCAGGAGACGGGGUAGGAAACCAGGGCAGAGAAGAACCACUUCUCCAUGUAGCUUCGAACACAUGUAGCAUGAGCUCCUACAACCUUGUUAUUUCCCUCUCACCCUCUGCACACUUGUUUAUUCUCAACCAAGACCACCACAAGCAAGUCGCGUUCGUAGUAGAUUUAGUGGUGGCGAUAAAAGCUAAACAAGUUAACUGAACCAAUCAAAAAAUGGGAAGUUACCUGAACCGCGUUAAAAACUACAGAACUUUAAUAAAAGUAAGUUAUUGAAGUUAACUGUUCUUUUUUCCCAUCUUUGUAAUCUUCACGAAUGUAAAAAACUUAACUGAAGUUAACUGUUGUCUCUGCAUGUCUUUGCUCCUUGCCCCAGUCUCCUAAUCACCACUAUGAGCAGCGCACGCACCACCAGUUUUGAGAAGAUACAACGGCUGAAACAUCAAACACAAGCUCAUGCGUACACCCUUGACCUGAACAUCAGUUAACAAAAAAAAAGCAGAGCAGUUAACAACAAGCAACAUCACCGGUUAACAACAAAUUUGAAGUUAACAUCAUUUAAGUAGUUAACAGUAAAUUAGAAGUUAGGAGCAGUUAAAAGAAUUAGUAGUGCAGUUAGGCUGUAGCUGCACCGUAGAGUCAAAGUAGCACCGGCUGCCUUCAUGCUUGCCACCCCGGGUGAAGGUGCAGGGGAGGUCCAAGGUGCUCGUGCUCGGCACCACGCGUUGCUAGGGGCUGCUCCUCGCAUGUAGCUACACACAACGACCCGAGUUAACUGCCGUUUUUGCAGAACGGCAAAUCCUCUGGUCUCGGUGGGCAUGCGGCCAUGGGGAGGCGCCAAGCGGCCAGGGGGAGCUGAACUUCUCGCCAUAGAAUAUAGAGGAGUCAGCCACGAGCAGCUCGCGCAGAGGUAGAUUGAUGAGAGAGGGGCAGUGGAACGAGCGGGGAGGAGGGAAUUUGCUGUAGUACCUGGGGAGAUUGGCGCGGCCACCACGCGUGAAAUAGGAGCCUGGUGGAUGGCCGACAGGGGGUGGGGCGGUGCCACACGGAAGGAAGGAGGAUGGGGACGGGCGCGAGGUCGUCGGAGGGCCGAGGGGGAGGUGCUCGAGGCCGCCGAAUGGGGAAGGAUACUGGGGCGGCGUGCCGCGGCUAGCGGGGAAGGAGGCUUUAGGGAGGGACGCACGACCGUGGGUGGGGAAGGAGGCUGGGGAGAUACACGCAUGGCCACCGGCGGGGGAGGAGGCUGGGACAGGAGCGGCGCAUCGAUUGAUCUGGAUCAGGCACGGGAGGGAACAAAUUUGUGGGGUUGAGAGAGAGAGGGAGAGAGAGAGAGAGACAAAGCGGGAGAGGUGGGUGCGGUCCAGGUUUUGUUCGGGACCUGCACGGCGGCGCAGCAACCAGCGGCAGACCAGAGCUCGCUCGCUCCCUCGCGGCACCGGAGCACCGCUCGCUCGCUCGCCCCCUUGGGAAAAGAAACAAGGUAGUCGGGGGAGGUGGUUUCUGAAUAAGCUUAUUUAGGAAC
rnacentral:lncRNA from 1 species